rnacentral:rRNA from 1 species
UACCGGCGGCUCGAGUGGUGGCCGCUUUUACUGGGCUUAAAGGGUCCGUAGCUUGAUCCAUGGGUCCCUUGAGAAAUCCAUCAGCUUAACUGCUGGGCGUUCAGGGGAAACUGUGGUUCUAGGGACCGGGAGAGGUAAGAGGUACUGCCGGGGUAGGAGUGAAAUCCUGUAAUCCCGGUGGGACGACCUAUAGCGAAGGCAUCUUACCAGAACGGCUCCGACAGUGAGGGACGAAAGCUGGGGGAGCAAACCGGAUUAGAUACCCGGGUAGUCCCAGCUGUAAACGAUGCGCGUUAGGUGUGUCAGUGACCACGUGUCACUGAUGUGCCGAAGGGAAACCGUGAAACGCGCCGCCUGGGGAGUACGGUCGCAAGGCUGAAACUUAAAGGAAUUGGCGGGGGAGCACCACAACGGGUGGAGCUUGCGGUUUAAUUGGACUCAACGCCGGA